GUUUAUGUAGUAAAAAAAUUACCUUAUCUUUUCAUGAUAAAAUUGCCAUGGCCAUAAAUA
rnacentral:tRNA from 1 species